UCUUAUGAAUGAGCAAAAGAAGUGAUUUAUUGAGGUGGAAUCUACUCUUGGUGAAGAUGCUGAGAA
rnacentral:pre_miRNA from 1 species